rnacentral:misc_RNA from 1 species
AGUUAUACUACUUGGAAAAUUGCCAGUAAAUUUGUUGUGAGAAAGUGUUAAUAUUCUGAGAUUAGAUAAGGAAUUGAAAAAAUUUGGUAUCGACCCACUAAGUUGAUUUUUUUCUAAGCUUAAAUAAGUUAAGCCUUUGAGUUUGUCGAAUGUAUUGGGAAUUGUGCCAGUGAGCAGGUUAUCACCGAGUUUGAGCUGACUCAACUGAGUUAACUGCCCUAUCGAACUUGGUAUCGGCCCGGUUAACUUGUUACCCAAAAAACUAAGUGCAAAAAGUUGGGUCAAGUUACCAAUUUUUGGGGAUAUUUGACCUGACAAAUUAUUGUUUUCGAGAUAAACUAUUUGAAUAUUAGGAAAAGAAAGGAGGAAAUUUGGUGUACCAGCUAAGUUUUUAAGAUUUGUAAGAGAAAUACUGGUUA